AGUUAGGUAGUAUAGUGGUUAGUAUUCGCGCCUGUCAUAGUAGGAGUUUAGCUUUAGAUCGCGCGAGACCGGGGUUCAAUUCCCCGCCUGAGAG
rnacentral:tRNA from 1 species